GAUGAACGCUGGCGGCGUGCUUAACACAUGCAAGUCGAACGGAAAGGCCACAGCUUGCUGUGGUACUCGAGUGGCGAACGGGUGAGUAACACGUGGGUGAUCUGCCCUGUACUUCGGGAUAAGCUUGGGAAACUGGGUCUAAUACCGGAUAGGAAUCACAUGUGGGUGUGUGGUUGGAAAGCUUUUGCGGUAUGGGAUGAGCUCGCGGCCUAUCAGCUUGUUGUUGGGGUAAUGGCCUACCAAGGCGUCGACGGGUAGCCGGCCUGGGAGGGUGUGCGGCCACAUUGGGACUGAGAUACGGCCCAGACUCCUACGGGAGGCAGCAGUGGGGAAUAUUGCACAAUGGGCGCAAGCCUGAUGCAGCGACGCCGCGUGGGGGAUGACGGCCUUCGGGUUGUAAACUCCUUUCGUCAGGGACGAAGCGAAAGUGACGGUACCUGGAUAAGAAGCACCGGCUAACUACGUG
rnacentral:rRNA from 1 species